GUCAACGGUGAUGUUCUUCUUCCGCAACAAGCACAUCAUGAUUGAUCUUGGGACAAGAAACAACAACAAGAUCAACUGGGCAAUGAAAGACAAGGAAGAGUUUGUUGACAUCGUGGAGACUGUCUAUAGAGGAGCUCGUAAGGCCGUCGUCUGGUGAUUGCUCCCAGGGAUUACUCCACCAAAUACAGUUUGGAGUAUUCCAGUAGCACACCAAACAACUUUUGCUGCAGGACACUGAAGUAAUAGAUGAGAGCAAGUUUCUGUGGCUUAGAGACACAUGGGGCAGAUGUCUGAAUCAAGUAUGGUCUUGUGUAAA